AUGGCGACGGCGGCGCGAUUCUUGCGAAGGACGCUGCGGGCAAGCGAGGUGGCGUCUCGGUUGUUAUCUACCUCUCACAGUAUAGUUAGGCGUGCUGCAUACACUACCGGGGGAAUAAUUGAUGUUGGCCAACCAACACCCAAAUCUCAUCCUGAGUUAUUAGCUGAUGAGGAGAUUACACCAGGCAUCACAAGUGAGGAGUACAUAUCCAGAAGAAAAAAGCUUGUGGAUGCUUUACCAGAGAAGAGCUUGGCCAUAAUUGCAUCUGCAGAUCAGCAGAUGAUGACUGAUGUAGUUCCGUACUCAUUCAGACAGAAUGGUGAUUACCUGUACAUUACAGGUUGUACACAACCUGGUGGUGUAGCAGUUUUAAGUAAGGAAACUGGUUUAUGCAUGUUCAUGCCAGAUAAACAUAAGGAGGAUGUAGUUUGGGAAGGUCAGACUGCUGGAGUUGAAGCAGCUGUGGAUUUCUUCAAGGCAAAUAAAGCAUUUCCACUUAGUGAGAUGAAAAAGAUCCUUCCUGAAAUGAUUGAGCAAUCAAAAGUGGUGUAUCACAAUGCAAAGGCAUCCACAUCUUCUUAUAGGAACUUUGAUGCCUUCCGCAGGGCAUCACUCAACAAUAAAGUAAAAGAUCUUACGCAUUACACUGAUGAACUGCGGUGGAUCAAGUCAAAAUCGGAAAUCAAGUUGAUGAGGGAGUCAGCAUCUAUUGUUUCUCAGUCUCUUUUGCAGACAAUGUUGCUCUCAAGGACCCACAGAGAGGAAAGCCAGUUAGCUGCUAAAAUAGAGUAUGAGUGCAAAAUGAGAGGUGCCCAAAGAAUGGCGUUCCAUCCUGUAGUUGGUGGUGGCGCAAAUGGCAGUGUUGUACAUUACUCAAGAAAUGAUAAGAAGAUCAAAUCGGGUGAUCUUGUCCUCAUGGAUGUUGGAUGUGAGUACCAUGGCUACCUUAGUGACCUGACACGGACAUGGCCACCCUGCGGUAGAUUUUCAGCUGCUCAGGAAGAACUGUACAGUUUAAUACUGGAGACGAAUAAGGAAUGCAUAAAGCUUUGUAAACCAGGCACGAGCAUUAGAGAGAUACACCAUCAUUCGGUCAAGAUGUUGAUAAGCGGAUUCCAAGAACUUGGAAUUAUAGGGAAGGGCAAAUCUAUCCAAUACAAUUAUUUGAAUCCAACCUCAAUAGGUCAUUCUUUGGGAAUGGAUAUUCAUGACUCCACUAGCCUCACCUCCGACAAACCCUUGGAGCCAGGCGUUGUAAUAACCAUUGAACCGGGGAUCUACAUUCCCUCGGUCCCGAUACUCAACGAGAAGGCCCCGGACAGGUUCCGGGGCAUCGGAAUAAGGAUCGAGGACGAGGUCCUCAUCACCGAGAACGGCCACGAGGUGUUGACGGCGUCGGUGCCGAAGGAGAUCCCCCACCUCACCACCCUGAUGAACAUGGGCGGCGGUGGCUCCACGACGGAAUCCCAUGAAGUGAGAGCUGCUUGCAACUGA
rnacentral:rRNA from 1 species